rnacentral:rRNA from 1 species
GACGAACGCUGGCGGCGCGCCUAACACAUGCAAGUCGAACGGAGAUUAUCCACUUGAAGUUUUUCGGACGGACGGAGGAUAAGCUUAGUGGCGAACGGGUGAGUAACGCGUGAGGAACCUGCCUUAAAGAGGGGGACAACAGUUGGGAAACGACUGCUAAUACCGCAUAAGCCCACACUGCCGCAUGGCAGAGUGAGAAAAGGAGUAAUCCGCUUUGAGAUGGCCUCGCGUCCGAUUAGCUAGUUGGUGAGGUAACGGCCCACCAAGGCGACGAUCGGUAGCCGGACUGACGAGGUUGAUCGGCCACAUUGGGACUGAGACACGGCCCAG